AAUAACCAAAAAUAACACUUGGGCUAAGGGUCAAGUUGGUAAUUUUUCUUACAUCUCCCCCCCCCGGAGCCCAGGUAUCAUAUACGCCCCCAAAAUAAAGAGCUUUGAAUACUAGAAGAAAAGCACCUAUACCUAGCAAGAUUAAGUGAAUACCUAAAAUUGUUGUCAUUUUAUUUCUAUCUUUCCA
rfam:Populus trichocarpa chloroplast, complete genome.